rnacentral:lncRNA from 1 species
GCUGUGCUCAGCAGUUGCUUUUGCUAGGCUUCUAUAGCAGUUGCUUGCGCGGGCAGCUGAAUGGCCGGGCUGCAGCUGCUGAAAAGCUCAAGCGAGCAUGCCACUAGUCUAGUCCAAAAGAACAACAGUUAUGUCAUAAAAUAUAAUCCUUAAAAAAACUAACGGGGAAAUAGAUGAUACGACGCAAGACCUUGUGUUGAUGUGGCCUCAUUAAAAACUUAAAUGAGAAACCUAGAAGAGAAAAAACUCAUACAAAGAAAAAAACACAACAUGAUGUUGAAACAAGUUAUGGAUCAAAAGAGGAAACUCCCCCCAAUACCUGCAAAUUAGUAAGCAUCUCAUACCGAUCUCUUAAACACAUUUGAAAAUGUGGACUAAGGUAGAGACUAUGUAAAUAGUUUGUAGGAUUAUCACAAUACUUAGAUGGAAAAUAUUAAUUGCCCAAUGAUAAGGAUAAAACAUUUCUUGGGGCUAAAUGCAUAGUAACAUUGGGGCUCACAUAACUCGUAUCCAUCUGAAC